AUCCAGACUCCUACGGGAGGCAGCAGUGGGGAAUAUUGCACAAUGGGGGAAACCCUGAUGCAGCGACGCCGCGUGAGCGAUGAAGUAUUUCGGUAUGUAAAGCUCUAUCAGCAGGGAAGAAAAUGACGGUACCUGAGUAAGAAGCCCCGGCUAACUACGUGCCAGCAGCCGCGGUAAUACGUAGGGGGCAAGCGUUAUCCGGAUUUACUGGGUGUAAAGGGAGCGUAGACGGCGAUGCAAGCCAGAUGUGAAAGCCCGGGGCUCAACCCCGGGACUGCAUUUGGAACUGUGUGGCUGGAGUGUCGGAGAGGCAGGCGGAAUUCCUAGUGUAGCGGUGAAAUGCGUAGAUAUUAGGAGGAACACCAGUGGCGAAGGCGGCCUGCUGGACGAUGACUGACGUUGAGGCUCGAAAGCGUGGGGAGCAAACAGGAUUAGAUACCCUAGUA
rnacentral:rRNA from 1 species